AGAGUUUGAUCAUGGCUCAGAACGAACGCUGGCGGCAUGCCUAACACAUGCAAGUCGAACGAGACCUUCGGGUCUAGUGGCGCACGGGUGCGUAACGCGUGGGAACCUGCCUUUAGGUUCGGAAUAACUCAGAGAAAUUUGAGCUAAUACCGGAUAAUGUCUUCGGACCAAAGAUUUAUCGCCUUUAGAUGGGCCCGCGUAAGAUUAGCUAGUUGGUGGGGUAAAGGCCUACCAAGGCGACGAUCUUUAGCUGGUCUGAGAGGAUGAUCAGCCACACUGGGACUGAGACACGGCCCAGACUCCUACGGGAGGCAGCAGUGGGGAAUAUUGGACAAUGGGCGAAAGCCUGAUCCAGCAAUGCCGCGUGAGUGAUGAAGGCCUUAGGGUUGUAAAGCUCUUUACCCGAGAUGAUAAUGACAGUAUCGGGAGAAUAAGCUCCGGCUAACUCCGUG
rnacentral:rRNA from 1 species